rnacentral:rRNA from 1 species
CACGGGGGGAACGCGAAGAACCUUACCAGGCCUUGACAUCCAAUGAACUUUCCAGAGAUGGAUUGGUGCCUUCGGGAACAUUGAGACAGGUGCUGCAUGGCUGUCGUCAGCUCGUGUCGUGAGAUGUUGGGUUAAGUCCCGUAACGAGCGCAACCCUUGUCCUUAGUUACCAGCACGUAAUGGUGGGCACUCUAAGGAGACUGCCGGUGACAAACCGGAGGAAGGUGGGGAUGACGUCAAGUCAGCAUGGCCUUUAUGUCUGGGGCCACACACGUGCUACAAUGGCAGGUACAAACCGUCGCAAACUCGCAAGGGUGAGCUAAUCGGAUAAAGCCUGUCUCAGUUCGGAUUGUCGGCUGCAACUCGCCGGCAUGAAGCUGGAAUCGCUAGUAAUCGCGGAUCAGCACGCCGCGGUGAAUACGUUCCCGGGUCUUGUACACACGC